rnacentral:lncRNA from 1 species
GGCUCCAUGGGUGGGGGACUGGGGUGCCCCCAGGGGCAGCAAUGAGCCGCUCGAGCCGGCGAUGCCGGUCCAGGGCAUCCUUUCCUCCCGCCCGGGCGCGGCAUCUUCUCCCAGCUCCGUCCAGCGUCUUUGCGGUUCCAGCCGCGGCGGGAGCACAGAGCCGCGAGAGGUGCGCCGGGGAGGAAGUUUGUCUAAAAAGAGGAACAGCAGCACUUUUCUUUUUAGUGAAGAUCGGGGAGAAAAAUGAGAUCCAGAACACCCCCAAACUUUGAAGGUAGUAUGGGAUCUAGAUUCUGAAAGCAGACCGUCACCGCCCCCGCCCCCCCAUUUUUCUUGAGUUCUCUGUCUCUGCUGCAGGCGUUGGUGUGAAUGAUGCCUGUGCAGUGCCUGAGGAAGGCACGCCUGGACCCCGGGCAUCCGGGCUGGGGCUGCCGAGCGCCUUCUGUUCUGGGCUGCGGAGCCGAAAUGUGGGGUGAAGAAAGGGUGAACGCCAGGUGAAGGGCGUUCGCGCCCAGGCAAGGGGCCGACAUUGCAAAGACUUCGGCUUGGCCAUCCCUCUGGUCCAGCAUUUGCAGUUCGCGCCCAGGCAAGAGCCGACUUUGCAAAGGGUUCGGCUUGGCGGUCACUCUGGUCCAGCCCGAGGACAAUUUGGAGCGAUUCGACAGGACAAAGAACCCACGGUGAUGAUGAAACCAUGCCCUUGAUUCCAACCAUCUUACCCUUUUUGUUCAUGAUAACAGCUACGCCCUUUUGAGCGCUUAAUGGGGACCACUCUCUGUGUUCACUCGGCUCUCGGUGAAUUCUCUCUUCACUCUUAAGGGCAACCCAGUGAGAUAGGUACUGUUCUCGCCCCUUUAUGGAGAAGGGAACGAAGGGAAGCCAGGAGCUGUUAGGUAACUUGUCCCAAGUCACACUUAGGAAGUGAUAGAGACUCUUUCAAACCCAGCUUGGCCCCACUCUGGAGGUGAGAGGUUUUUCUGUUGCCUUCCACCCCAGGAGUUGCUUCUGUAUAUACUCAGUGUGUACAUGUUGGCUCAUGAAUUUUUGUCCCACUGAAUAUCAUAUUUUAUGAGACACACAGUGGUUAAGAGAAAGGAUGGAAGCUAAGUUGGGUGGAUCCAAAUCCCACCUCCACCACUUACUAGCUAUGGAGCCUCCCUGUGCAAAUAAGGAUCCGCAAAAUGGGAAUAAAAGAUCCCUCUUUAAACAGUUACAGCUGGUUUCCCAUCUAUCAAAUGAUGCAUGUUAUUGCACUUAAUAUUUAGAACCCUAAUAAAGUAGGGUUUCCACCCUAAUAAAAUAGGAUUUCAUAGGGUUAUUGUAAAUUGCUUAUAUUUAGUCUUAGUGGUCAUGUAAACAUUUCUGUGUUGCCUGUGAGUCAAAGUAUCCAUGUGGGUCUUCGUAUCAGCUACUCCCUAUGGUUGGAUAUUUACAGGCCUAUGGAGUGAUGGUCAGAGUCUGGACUCUGAAAAACUCCUGCUUCCCACACUGACUAUCAUUCAGUGAACUUGGGGGCAAGUUACUUGACCUCUGAACCAAUUGCUACAUCAUCAGGAAAUUUGGGAGCUGGUUGCUAAACCAUAGGUAGCUUGAAGUUGGCUGUCGGUGGCUAUUUACACCACAAAAAUCAGCAGAUGCUAAAAAUCAAGGUUCCCCCACUCCGCUGCCCAGGAGAGCUGGUUCACCAGCACACCUCUGCGUCAGUUUUACCGUCUUUAAACUGUUUCAUAGAGUGAUGGGAUAAAACACAGAAAAGCAUGUAUAUGAAGUUUUUAGUACAGUGUCUGGCAUUACUGAGUAAUGAUUAGUUGUUAUCUUUUCCAUUUUUAUUAUAAAUAGAGCUUCUGUGAACAUCACUGCACAGGUGGCUUUUGAGUUGAAGUCUUCCAAACAAAUCAACUGAAUUAUGGGAUAUGCAUGGUUUGGGGGUGCAUGGGCGCAUGUUGUACGCCAGAAAGACUGGGGCUGUUUCAGUGGAGUGUACUGCUUUCAGGGUAACACAUUUUAAGGCUGACGAAAUGUGAUUAGGUUGUGAUAGAAAGAUCGGUAGCUAAAUAUCAUGGAUUGGUAAUGAAUGCCUGGCUUCCAAGAGCCUGAUGUUGUUAACGAUUUUUAGGUUUAAAGUUUGUCCCCUGAUGAGAAAGGACAAAUAACCCCUUGCCAGUUUGGUCAUCACCACCCAGCACUGAGAAAGGUGGAGCGUGGGCCCUGAGGCAAAGGCACUGGAAGCCAGCCAAGCGAACCAUGGGACCCUAGACUGAAUCGGGGGCAGGGGGCGGUGAUUUUGAAUUUUUUUUUUAAGUGGUUCUCUAGAUUGUACAAACUUCCAGCCCCACAAAAUUUGGAUCCACCCCUGCAGGACCCCGAUUUGGACCUGGCUGCCGUCCUACCUCCUAGCUCCUUUUAUUCUAGACUUUUCCUGCUUUUCUGCAAAAUCUUAUUGGAAACAAUGUCUUUAAGCUGAGGUUUGGCACUCCCAACCCCUCAUUCCAAGUGCAAUUCAAAAUGUGACUGUUCUUCUUUCUGAGGUUUCUCAAGGGCUGCACCCGCGGCAUAUGGAGGUUCCCAGGCUAGGGGUUCUAAUCGGAGCUGUAGCCACCAGCCUAUGUACACCACAGCCACAGCAACACCAGAACCGAGCUGCGUCUGUGACCUACACCACAGCUUACGGCGACGCCAGAUCCCUAACCCACUGAGCGAGGCCAGGGGUCGAACCCACAAAUUCAUGGUUACUAGACGGCUUCAUUUCUGCUGCACCACGACGGGAACUCCUGUCCCUUUCUGUUCCUGAAAUUCAGCCUGUCUGUCUCUAAACAGCUGCAGAAACCACCAAGGCGCAGGGACUUGUCCAGAGCCCCCCUUUCAUUUUUUCUUUUUCUUUUCUCUUUUUUUGGUCACCCCGCGGAAUAUGGAGUUCUCAGGCCAGGCAUCAGAUCCAUCCUAAGCCACACCUGCAGCAGUACUGGAUACUUAGCCUACUGCGCCGGCUGGGGUUCGAACCUGUGUCCCACAGCUCCCAAGAGGCCACCAAUCCCGUUGUGCCAUAGCAGGAACUUCAAAGAACCACCCAUUUCAGAAGGGACAGAACGGAGAACUUGAAUCUCUGACCUGAGCCCAGAGCUACCUGCGUGACCUCACGCAGUGGCGCCUUGGUCAUCUUGCUCACAUGUCUUUAGAGACUGAGUGUGGAGCAGGCAGCUUCUCUCUUUCCUUCCCUGCUCCCCUUCUUUUUUUUUCCUUUCUCUCUCUAGUCAGGACAUUAAAAACAAACCCCACCAUCAUCAGCCAUCUUUCUUAUCCCACAAAUGAAGGAUGUUUCAAUAUCCCAAAUAGUAGGAAAGAAAUCAUCUCAUGUAAAGAACGUCCUGAUACCCAAGAAUCUUCUAGCGCUGUUGCUAUUAAGGAGAGGCUCUGGGUGGCUGAGGGGCGGGGGUGACCGGAAGACCAGUUCCACUGUGUUCCCUUGUGUAGCUCUUGUCUUUUGCACCGUGUACAUAAGUGUAAUUUACUUACAGAAGGUGUAACCCAGGAUGAUCCUUACACAACACAGCUCACGUGAUCAAACUUUCCCUUCUCAUUCUUUCAUGAACCAGUGAAGAAAACUUCAUGCCGGUGUGUGGCAUCUGGGAACACUGGCCUCAUCCUCUCAAUUAAGUUCCUUAAGAGAAAGGGCCCACUUUUUUUUGUUUCAUUUUUGGGACACCCCAUGGCAUAUGGAGUUCCCGGGACAGGGAUCAAAUUUGAGCUGCAGUCGCCACCUAAGCUGUAGUAGUGGCAACACUGGAUCUUUAACCCACUGUGAGGGCCGGGGUUUGAACCCACGUCCCAGUGCUCCCAAGAUGCUGGCGAUCCUAUUGUGACACAGCGGGAGCUCUGGGCCCACCUUUUGGUUCUUGCAUCUUUCACUGCCCUUCUCUUUCCAGCCUCUGCAGCCAGAUAGCCUAGGAUUGAAUCCCAGCUCAUCUACUUCCUGGCUUGCUCCUGUGGAGUCAGUGAUUUAACCUUGUGGUGCCUCAGUUUUCCUCAUCUGUACAAUGGGCCAAUGAUGGGCCUUGCCUCCAAAAGUUGUAAUGAGGUUGAGAUGGAAUAUAGUAAGUGGUCAGUCAAUGCCAACUCUUUUUUACAGCCACCACCCUCCUCUCUGCCUUUCCCCCCACCGACAAUCUACCAGAAAACACUUAUCACUACCAAUCUAUAUGUGGUGCCAGACACUGCCGACCCUGAGAAGACAAGACUUUUUUGUUGUUGUUCGGUCUUUUUAGGGCUGCAACCAUGGCAUAUGGAAGUUCCCAGGCUAGUGGUUGAAUCAGAACUGCAGCUGCCAGCCAUAGCCAUGCCAGAUCCCAGCUGUCUCUGCAACCUACACCCUAGCUCAUAGCAACACUGGAUCCUUAACCCACUGAACGAGGCCAGGGAUCGAACCCGUAUCCUCAUGGAUACUAGUCAGAUUCGUUACGGCUGAGCCACAACGGGAACUCU